rnacentral:lncRNA from 1 species
UAAUUUAACACGUCUCUCUCUUCCAGCAAAGUUGGUCUAUUUCGAUCGGAUGUUUUGAACAUAAUUUAAUAUAAUUUUAAAUGUUAAAAUAAUUAUAUAUAUAGUUGAGAUAAAAUAUUAUCGAUAGCAAAACGGUUCCGCCGUCACCUAUUUAUUUUCGACGAUGGAGCCUUCAAAUCGACGAUCAGUAUCGUUGAAUAUGAUUUAUAUUACUUGAAAUAUUUAGAAAUUAAAUUUUAAAUUUUUUUUGACAUUAUUGACCCAAUGAUCAGAGGGUUUCAAAAUUUACAAUUUUAAUGGUCGAUAUGAGGUAUUUUCUCGUCUAACGGUGUAAAGAUAUCCAAAUUGAUUGAAUAUUAGUUAGAAAAUUCUUUAAACUAUUUAGAACAAGAUCUAUAUAUUCGAUUUUGAUUACAAGAUUCUUAUUAUCACUUUUUAAAAAAUAUUCAUUUUCAGCUGUUCAUUUUAUGUUCACUUGAUGGACAAGAGAACAAUACCAGAAAAGUAUGAAAUUUGGUUUCUACAUAUUUCAAAUGGUAUAGAUCAUAUUCAACGGUGCUGAUCGUCGAUUUGGAGGCUUCAUCAUUGAAAAUAAAUGGGUGGCAACAGAACCUGUUUGCUACCGAUAGCAUUUCAACUCAACUAUAUAUAUAUAUAUAUAUAUAUAUAUAUAAUUGAGCUAGAAUACUUUUAAAAAUAUCACCCCAUUGGUGCUUUUAGGUUUCUAGCGCUUGGAUCUACUCCUUGAUUACUAGUAGCCGAUAUAUAUAUAUAUAUAUAUAUAUAUAUAAUUGAGCUAGAAUAUUUUUAAAAGUAUCACCCCAUUGGUGCUUUUAGGUUUCUAGUCCUUGGAUCUACUCCUUGAUUACUAAUAACCAUUGGAUCAAACACUAUUCCACCUACCACCACCUACACCACCUACCACCAUCAUCACAACCUUACAUUUCUCUAUCCAAUGGUUAAAAAACUCAAAAGCACCACCUCAUUGGUGUUUUUGAGAGNACUAUCGGUAGUAAAUUUCUCGAUUUACUACCGAUUUAUUUUUGAUGAUAGAGCUUCCAAAUCGACGAUCGGUAUCAUUAGAUAUAAUCUAGACCAUUUAAAUUAUCUAGAAAUCAAAUUUCAUGAUUUUUUGGCAUCACUAAUUGAACGAUCAAAGGGUCACAAAAUCUAUAAUUUUAAUGGCCGAUAUGGUGCAUUUACUCGUUUAACGGUACAGAAGAGUUCAAAUCAACUAAAUUUUUGUUAAAAUUUUUUUUAAACUAUUUAAAAUAAGAUCUAGACUCUAGAUCUCAAAUAUAAAAAUUGUAUAACUUUUUGAAGGAUAUUUAUUUCUAGUCAUUCAUUUUUCUGUUCACUUGAUGGACAAGAGAACACUAUCGAAAAUGUGUGAAAUUUGAUUUUCAGAUAGUUUAAAUAGUUUAGAUCAUGUUUAACGGUGCCGAUCAUCAAUUUGAAAGCUCUAUCAUCGAAGACAAAUCGGUAGUAAACCAAGCCGUUUAUUACCGAUAGUAUUCUAGCAAAACUCUAUAUACACGAACGUGCGAGAUAGACAUGAUAAUUUAAUUUUAGGAUUGAAAAAUAAGAUAA